UGCGAGUCGAACGAGAACGGGUCUUAGCUUGCUAAGAUUGUCAGCUAAGUGGCGCACGGGUGAGUAAUAUAUAGUUAACCUGCCCUAGAGAGAGGGAUAACGUUUGGAAACGGACGCUAACACCUCAUAUGCCUUUAAGUCAAAAGACUGCAAGGGAAACAUUUAUGGCUCUAGGAUGGGACUGUACGGUAUCAGUUAGUUGGUGAGGUAAUGGCUCACCAAGACAAUGACACCUAACUGGUUUGAGAGGAUGAUCAGUCACACUGGAACUGAGACACGGUCCAGACUCCUACGGGAGGCAGCAGUGGGGAAUAUUGCACAAUGGACGAAAGUCUGAUGCAGCAACGCCGCGUGGAGGAUGACACAUUUCGGUGCGUAAACUCCUUUUAUAUAGGAAGAUAAUGACGGUACUAUAUGAAUAAGCACCGGCUAACUCCGUGCCAGCAGCCGCGGCAAUACGGAGGGUGCAAGCGUUACUCGGAAUCACUGGGCGUAAAGAGAAUGUAGGCGGGUAAUUAAGUCAGAAGUGAAAUCCAAUAGCUCAACUAUUGAACUGCUUUUGAAACUGAUAACCUAGAAUAUGGGAGAGGUAGAUGGAAUUUCUGGUGUAGGGGGUAAAAUCCGUAGAGAUCAGAACGAAUACCGAUUGCGAACGCGAUCUACUGGAAACAUUAUUGACGCUGAGAUUCGAAAGCGUGGGGAGCAAACAGGAU
rnacentral:rRNA from 1 species